CCAAAGGACAAGAUCUUCAGACAAAAUAAUUGGGUACAAACAGGAGAAGUAAAAGUUAGGUAACAGGAAGUAACUUUGCCAAGCCAAGCUGAUUGUAAGGUUUCAGCAAGUUCUGGGCAAGCCAAAUGAAUCACUGCUUGGUAAAUCCCUGAAGUCAAAAGAUAAAAAGAAAGUCUUACAAUUUUCAAAGAGAAAGUGUAAGUUACUUACAAAGGGAGAAGGAUCAUAAGGUAUUCAACUUUCUCUUUUACAAAACUUGGAGCACAGAAAAUUGAAGUGAGUCAUGGGAUGAUUACUGCAAAAUAUAUUACCUACCAGCAGUCUGUGGAAUCCUGUAGAAGAAUCUUGUAGCAAGACUUACUUCCCUGAGAGAGUGAAAGAAAUACAUUUGAGGAGAUGCAAGAAUUCAAAGGACACGUCACCCACAUCUACUAUCAGAGAAAUGACAGGCUGCUGAGUGGUCAAGCUAAGACGAGAGGAUUUCGAGUGGGCUGGCUCCAGACACACCAGCAGAACAGGUACCGGGACUAUGGACAUGCAGGCCUGUGAUUUCAAAACCUGUUCAGAGAUCACACAACUAGUACGAGGUAGAACGGCCUGCAGCCCCACCUGAUUUGGCCACUGACCUUCGCUGCCUAUAGAAAAGGUCAGCUGGCACAAGAAGAGUUAUACUAUACCAUCAAGAUCUGCUACAUUUAAGCAUCAACUGGAGGAGGACCCUGGGCGCAGC